rnacentral:tRNA from 1 species
GGAUCUAUAAGCUCAAAACGGAAAGAGCGCCCGAACUUUAAAAGUUUUGGGAGGAUGGUGGUUCGAAUCCACCUGGAUUCA